CCUACGGGAGGCAGCAGUGGGGAAUUUUGGACAAUGGGCGCAAGCCUGAUCCAGCCAUGCCGCGUGCGGGAAGAAGGCCUUCGGGUUGUAAACCGCUUUUGGCAGGAACGAAACGGCGACUUCUAAUACGAGUCGUUAAUGACGGUACCUGCAGAAUAAGCACCGGCUAACUACGUGCCAGCAGCCGCGGUAACACGUAGGGUGCAAGCGUUAAUCGGAAUUACUGGGCGUAAAGCGUACGCAGGCGGCUUUGCAAGACAGGUGCGAAAUCCCCGGGCCUAACCUGGGAACUGCAUUUGUGACUACAUGGCUAGAGUCUGUCAGAGGGGGGUGGAAUUCCACGUGUAGCAGUGAAAUGCGUAGAGAUGUGGAAGAACACCGAUGGCGAAGGCAGCCCCCUGGGAUGAGACCGACGCUCAUGUACGAAAGCGUGGGGAGCAAACGGGAUUAGAUACCCUGGUAGUCCACGCCCUAAACGAUGUCUACUAGUUGUCGGAGGGUAACUCCUUCGGUAACGCAGCUAACGCGUGAAGUAGACCGCCUGGGGAGUACGGUCGCAAGAUUAAAACUCAAAGGAAUUGACGG
rnacentral:rRNA from 1 species